rnacentral:lncRNA from 1 species
GACCCUGAAUACAGCCUAGUCCUUGAUGUCCAUGCCCAUUAUUCAGUGCAGCGGAUUUGGGGCGCGAUUUUUAGGGUUCACGAAUUUGGGUUUUUGAUUUAGGAUGCUUCUUUCAUGGGUAUAUUAUGGCAAGAAAAUGGAAGCUAGAACUGGGGGCAAUUUUCAAGGUGCUUCACGGACUUGAAGGCGAAUUUGGGUUUCGAUAAAUUAGAAAUCCAAAAAACUUUCAUAGAGACUAGGGGGGUCACAUCUCUCACACAAUGUUCUCAGAAAACUCGGCCGAAAGGUGAAGAGAUCAACGAUAGGAAAGGUGAACUUGGGCUACUGUUUAUUUACUUGAAUAGGCGUGGCAGCAACAGAGAAGGGUGACGAUGGUAUGGGCUGCAUGGCUAGUAGUUAAGAGCAAGUGUGGUGUUAGGAGGAAGUGGAUCUUUCGCCCCAUGGUGGUGGGAAAUUCCAGCCCACAUUCCACUCCCUGUUGCCACUUUUGUGUUUUUUGGUUUGUUGUUAAAAUUUGGAAUUCCAUCUUAAAAUGUCAACUUUAUUAAGAGGAGUAGUCUAAAACCUUAUAAGUUGGUUUAUGUUUCUAUCUUUAUUUGAUGUGAAAUUUUAUCCUUUAACAUAUCUCCGCAAGUUUGUGGCUCUUCUGAGCAGACUAAUCUUGAAAUUUGUAUGCUUAUUUCUUGAAUCUUAAUCGGAUUAAAUCGCUCUUUGAAAUU